UAACACGUAUCCAACCUGCCGUCUACUCUUGGACAGCCUUCUGAAAGGAAGAUUAAUACAAGAUGGCAUCAUGAGUCCGCAUGUUCACAUGAUUAAAGGUAUUCCGGUAGACGAUGGGGAUGCGUUCCAUUAGAUAGUAGGCGGGGUAACGGCCCACCUAGUCUUCGAUGGAUAGGGGUUCUGAGAGGAAGGUCCCCCACAUUGGAACUGAGACACGGUCCAAACUCCUACGGGAGGCAGCAGUGAGGAAUAUUGGUCAAUGGGCGAGAGCCUGAACCAGCCAAGUAGCGUGAAGGAUGACUGCCCUAUGGGUUGUAAACUUCUUUUAUAAAGGAAUAAAGUUGGGUAUGGAUACCCGUUUGCAUGUACUUUAUGAAUAAGGAUCGGCUAACUCCGUGCCAGCAGCCGCGGUAAUACGGAGGAUCCGAGCGUUAUCCGGAUUUAUUGGGUUUAAAGGGAGCGUAGAUGGAUGUUUAAGUCAGUUGUGAAAGUUUGCGGCUCAACCGUAAAAUUGCAGUUGAUACUGGAUAUCUUGAGUGCAGUUGAGGCAGGCGGAAUUCGUGGUGUAGCGGUGAAAUGCUUAGAUAUCACGAAGAACUCCGAUUGCGAAGGCAGCCUGCUAAGCUGCAACUGACAUUGAGGCUCGAAAGUGUGGGUAUCAAACAGGAUUAGAUACCCUGGUAGUCCACACGGUAAACGAUGAAUACUCGCUGU
rnacentral:rRNA from 1 species